CUGCUGCCUGCCGAUGAAGAAAUUCUGACAAAGAACCUCACAGGUGCCAUUCGUUUUUUUCACAAUGUUACACACUAAGGUGCCUAAAGCGUAUACAACUUUAUAACCCGUUGUCCGCUGCGUUGCGCAACCAUCAACCGUUGAAAAAAAAGAUCAAGCAUACUUCCUUCGCCUUUCUCGCCACUUAUCGAGUAAAAUUCAUUCUUGGAGCCAUGCACGAUUCAAAUUUGUAGAAGAUUAGCAUUGUCGAGCAAUGAUAAAGACUAUCCAUUGACUUGAAUCUUGAGGAUUAACGCCAUGUUUCGAAAUAUCGACGAUAUAUCUGCAAUUAAUGGUGGAAUAUAUUUAAUGUGUUUAAUAGUGGAAUCAAGUUUAAUAUGCAAGGUCAAACCGAAUGGCAGCAGCUUAGCUCAUGGAAAAAAAACGAAACACGCGUGUCACAAGCGCGCAAGCUGCACGGUGUUCGCGCUCGGCGUGCGUAGCCAACGGACCCCCAUAAAAGAGCAGUGCAGCUGUGUUUUUUUUCGAAAAAAUCCGUGCCGUGUGUGCGGGAGCAUGCGGUCGAUUCGACGAGACAGUCACGGAGAAGAGGAGGAGGAGGAGAAGGAAGAAGAAACAGAAGAAGAAGAGGGCAGGUAAAGAAGAAACAGAAGCGCGGAAGGAGAAUCAGAGGUAGAGAGAGGAAGGCGAUCGACGUGGAGAGACGAAGGCAAUGGAAAAAGAAACGAUUCGCCGCGGACAGAGGGUUGAAGAACGGGUUGAAGAAGCGGUGGAAGAAGGAGGAGAAGAAGCGGCGCAACAUGCCGAGGGUACCGGUCGAGGUGAAGGAGGAUAGCGAAGGGGCAAGGUGCUGCCAAGGUGGCGGUUAGGGCAGCUGAUCUUCGAAUAGCAGCAGGUGAAUGCGAAGAAGCUCGCGCUCGUGGAUGGAGCGAGACAGCCGAGAUGGUAGUUGCGGUAGAUGCGCCGCUGGCUGUGGAGGAGGAAGAGGUGGGAUCCACGCGUGCAUAAAAGGUGUUUCGUUAUUGUUACCAAGCGCGCGCGCGCUACCCGCCUCUUGGAUUUAUUAAUCUUAUUCGCCGUGGCAACGAGCUCCUCUCGCUACCCUGAUCAAUCCAAGUCAACGUCGAACGUAUCUAACUUGUCCUCCUCAAUCUUGGAAUGGAGACAAGAUAUAUCAAUUUUAAAUUUAAGGAUCCAUUCAAAUUUGUUACAAGCAUAUUUAAAAUUUGUUGAACUCGUCAGUUGCGAAGGAGGUGCGCAAGGUGGCCGAGGAAUCUGUGAAACUUAACGGUCGGACAACGCCAUGGAAGAACAAGUGCAGGGUGCACUUGUGGGAAGAAGGUCAGGGGUGUUCCCAAGUUACGUGGCGUGGAGGGUGUCUUGGCCACGAAGGUGGCGGGUCCUUCUUCGUGGUCGUCGAAUUAAUAGGCCAUCUGCUUCUGCCUUCUUCGAGGAAGUCAAUGUUUAGGAAGUCCAUGGGAAGCGGCGACAACGGAAAGCCCCAUAAACGAUGGGAACGAACGUUUGCAAGGAAGUCGUGCGGCCCUGUUACGCACGAUAUAUUCCUUCGUCUUCUGCUAAUCAGGGGCAAGACAGCGUAGGUGUGAGCGGUUAGCUAUAAGGAAACGAUGAGUUUGGAUCAAGGAUACUCCCAAGUGGUUACUCUUCCGGUCUUUCUACUCUUACUGUGAAACGUCCAACGUUUCUCUAACGGAUCUCUGAUUAGCCGUAUCGGAUGGCUACGAGAAUUGCUUGGGUAAAAAUGAAACAAAAACGAGCAAGUCUCUAAAGUUUUACCUUAUAGAAAGUUUUGGAUGAAGUAAGUAGAAGAUUUAAGAGAUAUUUCCAAAGAUUAAAAUAAAUAUA